UUUAAAUUUAGAGUUUGAUCCUGGCUCAGGACGAACGCUGGCGGCGUGCUUAACACAUGCAAGUCGAGCGAUGAAGCUUCCUUCGGGAAGUGGAUUAGCGGCGGACGGGUGAGUAACACGUGGGUAACCUGCCUCAAAGUGGGGGAUAGCCUUCCGAAAGGAAGAUUAAUACCGCAUAAUAUGAGAGAAUCGCAUGAUUUUCUUAUCAAAGAUUUAUUGCUUUGAGAUGGACCCGCGGCGCAUUAGCUAGUUGGUAAGGUAACGGCUUACCAAGGCAACGAUGCGUAGCCGACCUGAGAGGGUGAUCGGCCACAUUGGAACUGAGACACGGUCCAGACUCCUACGGGAGGCAGCAGUGGGGAAUAUUGCGCAAUGGGGGAAACCCUGACGCAGCAACGCCGCGUGGGUGAUGAAGGUCUUCGGAUUGUAAAGCCCUGUUUUCUAGGACGAUAAUGACGGUACUAGAGGAGGAAGCCACGGCUAACUACGUGCCAGCAGCCGCGGUAAUACGUAGGUGGCGAGCGUUGUCCGGAUUUACUGGGCGUAAAGGGUGCGUAGGCGGAUGUUUAAGUGGGAUGUGAAAUCCCCGGGCUUAACCUGGGGGCUGCAUUCCAAACUGGAUAUCUAGAGUGCAGGAGAGGAAAGCGGAAUUCCUAGUGUAGCGGUGAAAUGCGUAGAGAUUAGGAAGAACACCAGUGGCGAAGGCGGCUUUCUGGACUGUAACUGACGCUGAGGCACGAAAGCGUGGGUAGCAAACAGGAUUAGAUACCCUGGUAGUCCACGCCGUAAACGAUGGAUACUAGGUGUAGGGGGUAUCAACUCCCCCUGUGCCGCAGUUAACACAAUAAGUAUCCCGCCUGGGGAGUACGGUCGCAAGAUUAAAACUCAAAGGAAUUGACGGGGGCCCGCACAAGCAGCGGAGCAUGUGGUUUAAUUCGAAGCAACGCGAAGAACCUUACCUGGACUUGACAUCCCUUGCAUAGCCUAGAGAUAGGUGAAGCCCUUCGGGGCAAGGAGACAGGUGGUGCAUGGUUGUCGUCAGCUCGUGUCGUGAGAUGUUAGGUUAAGUCCUGCAACGAGCGCAACCCUUGUUAUUAGUUGCUACCAUUAAGUUGAGCACUCUAAUGAGACUGCCUGGGUAACCAGGAGGAAGGUGGGGAUGACGUCAAAUCAUCAUGCCCCUUAUGUCCAGGGCUACACACGUGCUACAAUGGUAGGUACAAUAAGACGCAAGACCGUGAGGUGGAGCAAAACUUAUAAAACCUAUCUCAGUUCGGAUUGUAGGCUGCAACUCGCCUACAUGAAGCUGGAGUUGCUAGUAAUCGCGAAUCAGAAUGUCGCGGUGAAUACGUUCCCGGGCCUUGUACACACCGCCCGUCACACCAUGAGAGCUGGUAACACCCGAAGUCCGUGAGGUAACCGUAAGGAACCAGCGGCCGAAGGUGGGAUUAGUGAUUGGGGUGAAGUCGUAACAAGGUAGCCGUAGGAGAACCUGCGGCUGGAUCACCUCCUUUCUA
rnacentral:rRNA from 1 species